rnacentral:lncRNA from 7 species
CAAAAUACCGUUCUGAAAGAAGUUUUUCCCAAUUCUGAGUCCAAAGAGACCAAUUGUGACAUCACAGAGCCCCAUGAUGGAAUCACAAUGCCCCAUUGUGACGUCACAGACCCCACUGUGACGCCACAGAGCCCCAUUGUGAAGUCACAGAGCCCCAUUAUGGAAACACAGUGCCCCACUGUGACGUCACAGAGCCCAUUGUGACAUCACAAAGCCCCAGUAUGGAAUCACAAUGCCCCAUUGUGACGUCACAGAGCCCAUUGUGACAUCACAGAGCCCCAUUGUGACGUCACAGAGCCCCAUUGUGACGUCACAGAGCCCCAUUGUGACGUCACAGAGCCCCAUUGUAACGUCACAGAGCCCCAUGAUGGAAUCACAAUGCUCCAUUGUGACAUCACAGACCCCAUUGUGACGUCACAGAGCCCCAUUGUGAAGUCACAGAACCCCACGAUGAAAUCACAAUGCUCCAUUGUGACGUCACAGGACCCCAUUGUGACGUCACAGAGCCCCAUUGUGAAGUCACAGAGUCGCCAUGAUGGUAUCACAAUGCUCCAUUGUGAUGUCACAGGCCCGAUUUGAAAUCACAAUGCCCAUUGUGUGUCACAGAGCACAUUGUGAUGUCACAGAGCCCCUUUGUGACGUCACAGAGCCGCAUUGUGACGUCACAGAGCCCCAGUAUGGAAUCACAAUGCUCCAUUGUGACAUCACAGACCCCAUUGUGACGUCACAGAGCCCCAUUGUGAAGUCACAGAACCCCAUGAUGAAAUCACAAUGCUCCAUUGUGACGUCACAGGACCCCAUUGUGACGUCACAGAGCCCAUUGUGA